rnacentral:rRNA from 1 species
AUUGAACGCUGGCGGCAGGCCUAACACAUGCAAGUCGAGCGGAUGAAGGGAGCUUGCUCCUGGAUUCAGCGGCGGACGGGUGAGUAAUGCCUAGGAAUCUGCCUGGUAGUGGGGGAUAACGUCCGGAAACGGGCGCUAAUACCGCAUACGUCCUGAGGGAGAAAGUGGGGGAUCUUCGGACCUCACGCUAUCAGAUGAGCCUAGGUCGGAUUAGCUAGUUGGUGGGGUAAAGGCCUACCAAGGCGACGAUCCGCAACUGGUCUGAGAGGAUGAUCAGUCACACUGGAACUGAGACACGGUCCAGACGCCUACGGGAGGGAGCAGUGGGGAAUAUUGGACAAUGGGCGAAAGCCUGAUCCAGCCAUGCCGCGUGUGUGAAGAAGGUCUUCGGAGUGUAAAGCACUUUAAGUUGGGGGGAAGGGCAGUAAGUUAAUACCUUGCUGUUUUGACGUUACCAACAGAAUAAGCACCGGCUAACUUCGUG